rnacentral:misc_RNA from 1 species
AACGCACAUUGCGCCCCUUGGUAUUCCAUGGGGCAUGCCUGUUCGAGCGUCAUUUGUACUCUCAAGCUAUGCUUGGUGUUGGGUGUUUGUCUCUGCUCUGCUUAGACUCGCCUUAAAUAUAUUGGCAGCCGGUAUACUGAUUUGAAGCGCAGCACAAUUGCAUUUCAGGCCUGUUAUUAUCAGUUUCCACAAGAAUUUUAUCACUUUUGACCUCGGAUCAGGUAGGGAUACCCGCUGAACUUAA